GAGAGCAGCCGGGUGACAACGUGGCACAGAACGGCACUGCAUCGGAGUAGGCACACUGCAAAGACGAGACGAGUCCUCCCCAGAGAGGGGAGGCGGUUAAGGAGAGGAGAUUGCGUGGCUCGGAGCAGCCAGACCCGAUCGAAGACCUCAGGACCAAGGAGGAAAUGAAAUGUUAAGAAGAUUUGACUGUAACAAAAGGAUGGUGUGCUUCUCACCUCAGCGUGAUAGCCUGACCUUGACUCCUGAGUUCCACGAUCGCUUCACAACUGCAAGUCACCAUCAUACAAAAUUUGAGUUUCCCUAAGUCCGCGCCUUUGAGAGCUUUGGAACGAUAUGCAAGUUCAAGUCACCAUCCUGUUUCUUGCUACCUCCUGUGAGAAGACCAACAUUUGGGUUACACUUGUUUCUACUCUUGUUCUUCUGCUUGUUAUUGUUGCCUCUGCAGCCAUUGAUCACACACGUGUUGUCAUACAAAAACUGGUUAGCCUUUUUAUUUGUCUUGUGAAUUUUAUCAUUUGGUUCUUAAGUAUUACAAAUUAAUAUUGUGUACUCUCAUUGAUAUACAACUUGCAGUCAUUGUAAAUAUGCGUGAGUUAGGGGUGAGAAUGGCAUGCAAGCAAAAGAACAAGGAGAGGGAUGAUAGAGAUGCAAGAAGAGUAAAGAGGGCAAGAAAGUUUAUGUUAAUAGCGAACACAAUGAAAGUUCUUUAAAUGCUUGAUAAUGGUGAAAGCAACACUUCCUAGGGCAUAUUUUUGGUGUUAAUGAACCUACACAUCAUACAAUAAAGAAAAUUGAGAAAGCA
rnacentral:lncRNA from 1 species